GCAGUGGUAGUCCAAUGGUAGAAUUCUCACCUUCCACACAGCAGACUUGGGUUUGAGUCCCAGCCAGUGCA
rnacentral:tRNA from 1 species